UAAUACAUGCAAGUCGAACGAUCCCCUCGGGGAUAGUGGCGCACGGGUGCGUAACGCGUGGGAAUCUGCCCUUGGGUUCGGAAUAACUUCUGGAAACGGAAGCUAAUACCGGAUGAUGACGUAAGUCCAAAGAUUUAUCGCCCAAGGAUGAGCCCGCGUAGGAUUAGCUAGUUGGUGAGGUAAAGGCUCACCAAGGCGACGAUCCUUAGCUGGUCUGAGAGGAUGAUCAGCCACACUGGGACUGAGACACGGCCCAGACUCCUACGGGAGGCAGCAGUAGGGAAUAUUGGACAAUGGGGGAAACCCUGAUCCAGCAAUGCCGCGUGAGUGAUGAAGGCCUUAGGGUUGUAAAGCUCUUUUACCCGGGAUGAUAAUGACAGUACCGGGAGAAUAAGCUCCGGCUAACUCCGUGCCAGCAGCCGCGGUAAUACGGAGGGAGCUAGCGUUGUUCGGAAUUACUGGGCGUAAAGCGCACGUAGGCGGCUAUUCAAGUCAGAGGUGAAAGCCCGGGGCUCAACCCCGGAACUGCCUUUGAAACUAGAUAGCUUGAAUCCAGGAGAGGUGAGUGGAAUUCCGAGUGUAGAGGUGAAAUUCGUAGAUAUUCGGAAGAACACCAGUGGCGAAG
rnacentral:rRNA from 1 species